GGAAAAGAAACCAACAGGGAUUGCCUCAGUAACGGCGAGUGAAGCGGCAAAAGCUCAAAUUUGAAAUCUAGCACCUUCGGUGUUCGAGUUGUAAUUUGAAGAUGGUAACCUUGGGUUUGGCUCUUGUCUAUGUUCCUUGGAACAGGACGUCAUAGAGGGUGAGAAUCCCGUCUGAUGAGAUGCCCAUUCCUAUGUAAGGUGCUAUCGAAGAGUCGAGUUGUUUGGGAAUGCAGCUCUAAGUGGGUGGUAAAUUCCAUCUAAAGCUAAAUAUUGGCGAGAGACCGAUAGCGAACAAGUACAGUGAUGGAAAGAUGAAAAGAACUUUGAAAAGAGAGUGAAAAAGUACGUGAAAUUGUUGAAAGGGAAGGGCAUUAGAUCAGACUUGGUGUUUUACGAUUAUCUUCUCUUCUUGAGUUGUGCACUCGUAUUUCACUGGGCCAGCAUCGAUUCGGAUGGCAAGAUAAUGGCAGUUGAAUGUGGCUUCACUUCGGUGGAGUGUUAUAGCUUCUGCUGAUAUUGCCUGUCUGGAUCGAGGGCUGCGUCUUUUGACUAGGAUGCUGGCGUAAUGAUCUAAUGCCGCCCGUC
rnacentral:rRNA from 1 species